UACGUAGGGGGCAAGCGUUGUCCGGAUUCACUGGGUGUAAAGGGCGCGUAGGCGGGUUAGCAAGUCAGAGGUGAAAUCUCCCGGCUCAACCGGGAAACUGCCUUUGAAACUGUUAAUCUUGAGUGCGGAAGAGAGAGACGGAAUUCCAGGUGUAGCGGUGAAAUGCGUAGAUAUCUGGAGGAACACCGGUUGCGAAGGCGGUCUCUUGGUCCGUAACUGACGCUCAGGCGCGAAAGCGUGGGUAG
rnacentral:rRNA from 1 species